CGGACGGGUGAGUAACGCGUGGGUAACCUGCCUUGUGCUGGGGGACAACAGUUAGAAAUGACUGCUAAUACCGCAUAAGCGCACAGUAUCGCAUGAUACAGUGUGAAAAACUCCGGUGGUACAAGAUGGACCCGCGUCUGAUUAGCUAGUUGGUAAGGUAACGGCUUACCAAGGCGACGAUCAGUAGCCGACCUGAGAGGGUGACCGGCCACAUUGGGACUGAGACACGGCCCAA
rnacentral:rRNA from 1 species